UACAUAGGGGGCAAGCGUUGUUCGGAAUUACUGGGCGUAAAGGGUGCGUAGGCGGCGCGGUAAGUCGGGUGUGAAAUCUUGGAGCUUAACUCCGAAACUGCAUUCGAUACUGCCGUGCUUGAGGACUGGAGAGGAGACUGGAAUUUACGGUGUAGCGGUGAAAUGCGUAGAUAUCGUAAGGAAGACCAGUGGCGAAGGCGGGUCUCUGGACAGUUCCUGACGCUGAGGCACGAAGGCCAGGGGAGCAAACGGG
rnacentral:rRNA from 1 species